GUAGGUAGCAAGCGUUGUCCGGAAUUAUUGGGCGUAAAGCGCGCGCAGGUGGUUCUUUAAGUCUGAUGUGAAAGCCCCCGGCUCAACCGGGGAGGGUCAUUGGAAACUGGGGAACUUGAGUGCAGGAGAGGAAAGUGGAAUUCCACGUGUAGCGGUGAAAUGUGUAGAUAUGUGGAGGAACACCAGUGGCGAAGGCGACUUUCUGGCCUGUAACUGACACUGAGGCGCGAAAGCGUGGGGAGCAAACAGGGAUUAGAUACCCUGGUAGUCCACGCCGUAAACGAUGAGUGCUAAGUGUUGGGAGGUUUCCGCCCCCUCAGUGCUGCAGCUAACGCAUUAAGCACUCCGCCUGGGAGUACGGUCGCAAGACUG
rnacentral:rRNA from 1 species